rnacentral:tRNA from 1 species
GGGGACGUGGUGAAAUGGUAAACACUGACGACUUAAAAUCGUCCGACCUAUGGUCUUGCGGGUUCAAGUCCCGCCGUCCCCA